CCUUGUACACACCGCCCGUCACACCACGAAAGUCGGUAACACCCGAAGCCAGUGGCCCAACUCUUUGAGAGGGAGCUGUCGAAGGUGGGAUCGGCGAUUGGGGUG
rnacentral:rRNA from 1 species